CCUACGGGUGGCAGCAGUCGAGAAUCAUUCACAAUGGGGGAAACCCUGAUGGUGCGACGCCGCGUGGGGGAAUGAAGGCCUUUGGAUUGUAAACCCCUGUCAUGUGGGAGCAAAUUAAAAAGAUAGUACCACAAGAGGAAGAGACGGCUAAAUCUGUGCCAGCAGCCGCGGUAAUACAGAGGUCCAAAGCGUUGGUCGGAAUCAUUGGGCGUAAAGCGUGCGUAGGCUGGUUCGUAAGUCGUGUGUGAAAGGCGCGGGCUCAACCCGCGAACGGCACAUGAUACUGCGAGACUAGAGUAAUGGAGAGGGAGGCGGAAUUCUCGGUGUAGCAGUGAAAUGCGUAGAUA
rnacentral:rRNA from 1 species